GACGAACGCUGGCGGCGUGCCUAAUACAUGCAAGUUGAGCGCUGAAGGUUGGUACUUGUACCAACUGGAUGAGCAGCGAACGGGUGAGUAACGCGUGGGGAAUCUGCCUUUGAGCGGGGGACAACAUUUGGAAACGAAUGCUAAUACCGCAUAAAAACUUUAAACACAAGUUUUAAGUUUGAAAGAUGCAAUUGCAUCACUCAAAGAUGAUCCCGCGUUGUAUUAGCUAGUUGGUGAGGUAAAGGCUCACCAAGGCGAUGAUACAUAGCCGACCUGAGAGGUUGAUCGGCCACAUUGGGACUGAGACACGGCCCAAACUCCUACGGGAGGCAGCAGUAGGGAAUCUUCGGAAAUGGACGAAAGUCUGACCGAGCAACGCCGCGUGAGUGAAGGAGGUUUUCGGAUCGUAAAACUCUGUUGGUAGAGAAGAACGUUGGGGAGAGUGGAAAGCUCAUCAAGUGACGGUAACUACCCAGAAAGGGACGGCUAACUACGUG
rnacentral:rRNA from 1 species